UCUUCUGGUUUGAAGAAAGAAAAACUUCUGAGUAUUUGUAGAAAAAGCAGAUGAGAUCAGAUGUUUUGUUAUGAACAGUGAAUACAAAAGUUUGAGAUACCUUGAUUCAAGCUUGUUGAUAUGAUCCCAAAUCACUGAAGAUCCUGUUAACUUGAAGCUGCUACUUGCUCAAUGAUUAUCGUUGCAGACCAGCUCGCAGGUGUACUUUUAUUGAAUAAAAUUCCCAAAUUGGCACUUAUAUUGCAUUCGAUCGAGUAAACGUACGGUUGGCUGUGGGCAUAUACCCGAAACACAAAGCUGAUGGCUCUAUCGAGAGGACUCGUCUUGUGGCAAAAGGUAUCAGACAAACCUAUAGCAUGAUUAUCUCGAGAUGUUUUCUCUGGUGGCCGAACUCAAAAAAAAUUUAUACGAGUCAUUCGGUCAGUUGCAGCUAAUAGAUCUUGGACUGCCUUGAUGUCAAAAGGCCUUUCUUCAUAGAGACCUACACAAAUUGGUUUCUGUCCGUCCUCCAUCUGGGUUUCGAGCUCAAAGGGGGAAGGGAAAGUUUGAAGGUGAAAAAAGACAUAUCUUAACGUGAAGAUUAUGGGAUUUCCAUGCCAUGGAUUCUUAUCUACAGAAAGUUCUUCAGCCUUCAACGUGCUUCAAGUUUCAAGUCAAGGCAGGUUAUGGUAAGCAGCCAAAUAAUGGGAAAUUCAACCAUCUAGAUGAGCAACUAAUCUGGGUCAGUCUUGAUGCACAUGUCCAACAGGAAGUGUAGCCCUCUUUUUUUAUAAUUCCUUGAAUUCUAAUCUGCACAUGUCCAACCUUGCCCUCACCAUUACUUUUAUAAUUCCCGACCUUUAAAUGCCCUAAUAAAUAGGCACAAGUCAUUGAUUCUAAUCUGCAAAAGGUGCUAUAUUUUCUACGAAA